rnacentral:rRNA from 1 species
GUCUACGGCCAUGCCACCUGAAUGUGCCCGAUCCCAUCUGAUCUCAGAAGCUAAGCAGGGUCGGGCCUGGUUAGUACUGGAUGGGAGACCACCUAGGAAUACCAGGUGCAGUAGGUG